UACGGGGGGGGCAAGCGUUGUUCGGAAUUACUGGGCGUAAAGGGCUCGUAGGCGGCCAACUAAGUCAGACGUGAAAUCCCUCGGCUUAACCGGGGAACUGCGUCUGAUACUGGAUGGCUAGAGUUUGGGAGAGGGAUGCGGAAUUCCAGGUGUAGCGGUGAAAUGCGUAGAUAUCUGGAGGAACACCGGUGGCGAAGGCGGCAUCCUGGACCAGCACUGACGCUGAGGAGCGAAAGCCAGGGGAGCAAACGGG
rnacentral:rRNA from 1 species